rnacentral:lncRNA from 1 species
CCUGAGGUUGCUGCUUAGUUCUGAGAAAGCCUCAGCGAGGCCGAUGGAGAGCCCUUGAGCUGAGGUUGCCCAUUAGACAAAUUCUGCAUCAGGUGCUGAUCAGAAACCCACAAAUAUCUGCCAGGCUGGCAACAGACCCUAAAGAGAGAGAUUAACAAAAAACAGUUGAGGAGCAAGCUAAAUUCCUACAGGCAAUAGUGGGACCAGAGCUCAUAGGCUGGCACCAAUAGUACAGUUUGGUCCCAAGGAGAAGCAGCAAGGCCAUGCAGGGAAUCACAUAAACAGAUCAGAAACUGAAGUUUGGCUUGCUGACGUGACUUGCUCAAGGUCACAUAGCUACGAAUUGUAGACCUAGAACUAAAAACAUCCUGGCUCCUUGUCUAGUUUUUAUUGCUCUAUCCCAGGUUGUCUAGCUUAACUAACUCUUGCUUCAUGGAGCUUGUAGGAAAGGAUGCCCUGCAAAUGCAGGACGUAAGCAUCUGGGGAAUAUAUCCAAUCAUUCUUGCAUUAAACCCCAAUACUUCCUCUAAUCGUGUCAUCUAUGUGAGCAGUCAUUUCUUUGGUGUGCAGGAGUGUGUGUGUGUGUGUGUGUGUGUAAUGAUGUUAUCUAUAUGCCAUCGGGGCACCUGCACAUUUGCAUAUGGGGAAAGAACUGAAUAAAACAUGAAGUGUUUUAUUCCAAUGGGAUGCAAGAUCCUCAAAGGAUAUUUACAAAUGUACUCAAGUGCCUCAGAAUCAA